rnacentral:tRNA from 1 species
GGGCCGUUAGCUCAGUGGCAGAGCACUACUAUGGCAUAGUAGGGGUCACCGGUUCAAAUCCGGUACGGUCCA